rnacentral:tRNA from 1 species
AGGUCAUUGGUGUAGUGGUAACAUGUCGGUCUCCAAAACCGUUGUCAGAAGUUCGAGUCUUCUAUGGCCUGC